GAGGAAUAUUGGUCAAUGGAGGCAACUCUGAACCAGCCAUGCCGCGUGCAGGAAGAAUGUCCUAUGGAUUGUAAACUGCUUUUGUACGGGAAGAAAAAGAGCUACGUGUAGCUUAUUGACGGUACCGUAAGAAUAAGGAUCGGCUAACUCCGUGCCAGCAGCCGCGGUAAUACGGAGGAUCCGAGCGUUAUCCGGAAUCAUUGGGUUUAAAGGGUCCGUAGGCGGCCUUAUAAGUCAGUGGUGAAAGUUUUCGGCUUAACCGAAAAAUUGCCAUUGAUACUGUAGGGCUUGAAUAAUUGUGAAGUAACUAGAAUAUGUAGUGUAGCGGUGAAAUGCAUAGAUAUUACAUGGAAUACCAAUUGCGCAGGCAGGUUACUAACAAUUGAUUGACGCUGAUGGACGAAAGCGUGGGUAGCGAAC
rnacentral:rRNA from 1 species